UACAGAGGGUGCAAGCGUUGUUCGGAAUUAUUGGGCGUAAAGGGCGCGUAGGCGGUGCUGUAAGUCUGUAGUGAAAUCUCUGGGCUCAACUCAGAGUCUGCUAUAGAAACUGCAGUGCUGGAGUGUGGGAGAGGUGAGUGGAAUUCCCCGGUGUAGCGGUGAAAUGCGUAGAUAUCGGGAGGAACACCUGUGGCGAAAGCGGCUCACUGGACCACAACUGACGCUGAGGCGCGAAAGCUAGGGGGAGCAAACAGGGAUUAAGAUACCCU
rnacentral:rRNA from 1 species